rnacentral:misc_RNA from 1 species
UUUCCGUAGGUGAACCUGCGGAAGGAUCAUUAAUGCGUAACCAAGUACCAAGGGUUGACGCUGACCAAAAAGUUCGUUCACGCCCGAAUGCCCUCACACACAUUCAUCACACCCCGUUGUGCAGCACCGUCUGGGUCGCCCUUUGAAGUGUGGGACGGGGGGCUUACGUUUUCACUCAAACUUUUUAUGCUGUGUAGUAGGUAUUUUUUGUUUUUUCUAUCACGCUAUCUACACAACUUUCAACAACGGAUUUUUUGGCUCUCGCAUCAAUGAAGAACG